ensembl:lncRNA
AUGUGGAGAAGCUGGGAUCCCUGUCCUGAACUACCCCCUGUAUCCUACCAUGGACAGGAGGAAGGUGGGGAAGCUGGGAUCCUGAUCCUGAGUUACCCCUGUAUCCCACCAUGGACAGGAGGAAGGUGGGGAAGCUGGGAUCCUGAUCCUGAGUCACCCCUGUAUCCCACCAUGGAGGGGGGAGGUGGGGAAGCUGGGAUCCUGAUCCUGAGUCACACCCUGCAUCCCACCAUGGAGGGGGAAGGUAGGGAAGCUGGGAUCCUGAUCCCAAGUCAUACCCUGCAUUCCACCCUGGAGGGGGAAGGUGGGAUGAGCACCCGUCAGCCAGAUGUCUGGGUCCUUGCUCUGCUGUCCAGCAGCUCUCUGGCUCUGAGCAGGUCCCUAAAUGGUCCCAACCCUUUGUCUUCUACUCUGCAAGAUGAGAAGACUACUGUCAGCUUUGAAGAGGGAUUAUAAGGAAUUAAGGACACACACCAAAGCCCAUUAGAAAGCAAUUGAAAUGGAAGAGAUGACCACAGUUCUCAUCAUCUCUGCAUUUAUUUGACCCCACACUACUUUUUCAAGGGGCUGGGAAGGAGAGGGAAGGCAUCCGAGCGUCCUACCGCACAGAGUAACAAUGGCAGCUAAGUCAGAACGGAGCCUCUUACAAUCGCAUCUAACACGCGUCUUCCCCGUGCAAAGCACCCAUCACCAUCGUCUCAGGGACUCUCAUAACAGCCCUGUCAGGUUGGCAUUUGCGUCCUUCCCCUUUGACAGACAAGUCCACGGAGACUCAGAAAAGUCCAGUGAGCUGCUCAGAGUUAAGCAAUACAGGCAGUAAGUGACAAAGUGGGAGUGACUCAAGCCAGUGCCACUGCAGAGCCUGCACCUCCACCCCGAGGGUGGCCCUCACAAGGACCUGAGGAGGAAGGCUCGGUGAUGGCUUCCCAAAGAUGUCCUCAUCCUCAUCUCCAGAAUAUUCUGUGAUGACGUGACCCCGGACAGCAAGAAGGAGACCAUGUCAAUAUGAUUAGGUUGAGGGUCCUGGGAUGGGGGAAGCCCAUGAACCAGUCACAGGUGUCCCUACAAAAAGAAGGUGGGAGAGUCAGAGCCACAGAGGAUACAGGGCUGCGAUGAUGAGGAAGGGGCUUCCAGAAAAGGCAAAAUCCCAAUGCUGGUGACAGCUUCCUUUUGGCACUUCUGAGCUCCAGAACCACAAGUGUAGACAUGCGACUCACAUCACACGCUGUCUGUUGUGUGAGCGCAGCAGUGGGCAGACCAGAGCGUCUGAGCACAUGGACAGGGGUUUUCCCUACAGCAGCGCUGUCCAAUAUGGCAGCCAAGAGCCGUGUGUGACUGCUGAAGUGGUGGCACUCAAAGUGAAUUAGGAUUUAGCCGCACUAAGCCGUGUUCCCCGUGCCUGGUACCAUUCAUUCUGAGCGGCAGCUGUGUGGGAUGGCGUGGGCACAGAACAUCUCUAUCAUCACAGAGCACCUCCUGGAUAUGGCUGUGCUGGAGAGAGAGUGGCCAUCUCCGUACCUGCAGGUCCCCCCACUAGAACAGCACAAAGUGUCCACGGGGUGCCGUGGGAGAUGGAGACAGACUGCCUGGCUUCAGACCCCAGCCCUGCCACUUCCUAGCUGACUCAACCAUGAACUGUGAUAACUGAACCCAGUCCAGGGGCUCGCUCUGAAUGCUAUAUGUGGACAUUGCAAGGGAAAUGUCUCAGGGCAGAGUCUGACACAAAGCACUGGGCAUCAAUAACACUGACUAGGGGCCAGUGAUGUGGCACAGUGGGUCAAGUCGUCACUUGAAGUGUCGGCAUCCCAUAUGGGCACCCAGCUGCUCCACUUCUGAUCCGGCUCUUUGUUAUGGUCUGGGAAAGCAGUAGAAGUUGGUGCAAGUGCUUGGGCCCUGACACCCAUGUGGGAGACCUGGAGGAAGCUCCCAGUUCCUGGCUUUGUAUCGGCCCAGCUCCAGCCAUUGCAUCCAUUUGGGGGUGAACCACUGGAUGGAAGACCUCCCCUCCUUUGCCUCUGCCUCUCUGUAACUAUGCCUUUCAAAUAAAUAAAAAUAAAUAUUUUUUAAAAAAUUAAAA